rnacentral:rRNA from 1 species
AUACGUAGGUGGCAAGCGUUGUCCGGAUUUACUGGGUGUAAAGGGAGCGCAGGCGGGGAAGCAAGUCAGUUGUGAAAACUAUGGGCUUAACUCAUAGAUUGCAGUUGAAACUGUUUCUCUUGAGUGGGGUAGAGGUAAGCGGAAUUCCGAGUGUAACGGUGAAAUGUGUAGAGAUUCGGAGGAACACCAGUGGCGAAGGCGGCUUACUGGGCUCUAACUGACGCUGAGGCUCGAAAGUGUGGGGAGCAAACAGGAUUAGAUACCCUGGUAGUCCACACUGUAAACGAUGAUUACUAGGUGUGGGGGGUCUGACCCCUUCCGUGCCGCAGUUAACGCAAUAAGUAAUCCACCUGGGGAGUACGACCUCAAGGUUGAAACUCAAAGGAAUUGACGGGG